CGCUUAGAUGGUCUGGGCGGCACGCGCGCUACAAUGAUGCAUUCAGAAAGUCUUCUGACCUUAGAAGGUUGGGUAUUCUCCAAAGUGCAUCGUGAUGGGAAUAGUUUAUUGCAAUUUUUAAUCUUGAACGAGGAAUUUCUAGUAAAUACAGGUCAUCAACUUGUGUUGAUUACGUCCCUGCCCUUUGUACACACCGCCCGUCGCUCCUACUGAUUGAGUGUCUCGGUGAAUUCUUUGAUUCUCUGUCGAUUCAGUUCACUGAUCCGACGGUGGAAAGUUGAAUGAACUUCGUCACUUAGAGGAAGGAGAAGUCGUAACA
rnacentral:rRNA from 1 species